GGUGGGAUGACGUCAAAUCAUCAUCGCCCCUUAUGACCUGGGCUACACACGUGCUACAAUGGUUGGUACAACGAGUUGCGAGUCGGUGACGGCGAGCUAAUACUCUUAAAGCCAAUUCUCAGUUCGGAUUGUAGGCUGCAACUCGCCUACAUGAAGUCGGAAUCGCUAGUAAUCGCGGAUCAGCACGCCGCGGUGAAUACGUUCCCGGGCCUU
rnacentral:rRNA from 1 species